AUUGAACGCUAGUGGGAUGCCUUACACAUGCAAGUCGAACGGAGUGGCGAACGGGUGAGUAAUGUAUCGGAAUGUGCCCAGUAGCGGGGGAUAACUACGCGAAAGCGUAGCUAAUACCGCAUACUAUUGGAGCGGCUGAUAUCGGAUGCGCUAGAUGGUGGGGUAACGGCUCACCAAGGCUACGAUCCGUAGCUGGUUUGAGAGGACGACCAGCCACACUGGGAAGGAGACACGGCCCAGACUCCUACGGGAGGCAGCAGUGGGGAAUUUUGGACAAUGGGGGAAACCCUGAUCCAGCCAUCCCGCGUGUGCGAUGAAGGCCUUCGGGUUGUAAAGCACUUUUGGCAGGAAAGCGGUACCAACAGAAUAAGCACCGGCUAACUUCGUGCCAGCAGCCGCGGUAAUAC
rnacentral:rRNA from 1 species